UACGGAAGGCAGCAGUGGGGAAUAUUGCACAAUGGGCGCAAGCCUGAUGCAGCCAUGCCGCGUGUAUGAAAAAGGCCUUCGGGUUGUAAAGUACUUUCAGUCGUGAGGAAGGUGUUAAGGUUAAUAACCUUAGCAAUUGACGUUAGCGACAGAAGAAGCACCGGCUAACUCCGUGCCAGCAGCCGCGGUAAUACGGAGGGUGCGAGCGUUAAUCGGAAUUACUGGGCGUAAAGGGCACGCAGGCGGUUAAUUAAGUUGGAUGUGAAAUCCCCGGGCUUAACCUGGGAAUGGCAUUCAAGACUGGUUAGCUAGAGUCUUGUAGAGGGGGUAGAAUUCCAUGUGUAGCGGUGAAAUGCGUAGAGAUGUGGAGGAAUACCGGUGGCGAAGGCGGCCCCUGGCAAAGGACUGACGCUCA
rnacentral:rRNA from 1 species